UCUUCCUAUUUUCUAGAUUACAACUAGAACUAACUAGAACUAGAACUAGAGGAACUAGAACUAGAACUAGAUGAACUAGAACUAGAUCUAGAUGAACUAGAGGUAGAACUAGAAGAACUAGAGGGAUCCUCUCUACUUGGAUGAAGAAUUAAAACCCUAACUUUGAUUCUGUAGAAGAGGUAUGAUCUCCAGGGGCCAGGGGGGGUCUGGUUUUAUAGUCCCUUCAAGUGAAUCUGGGCCGUCGGAUCAAACCGACAUUGAUCGUGUGGUUUUCCUUAAAGUAUUAGGUCGGUGGAGCAUGAUCCUCGAGUUGUACCCUAAUUGGGCAGAACAGGUGGGCGGGCGCCCUCAGGACUAGGGCGGGCGCCCUGUCCCUGAGGCCUCUCGUCUUCCGCUUUGUUCCCGUGGCUUCUGGAGUCUUCUAGAUGAUAGAAAAUUGCGCGGCACGUUAAUAUCUCUAUGUAAACCUUACGUGUGGGCCUUUCCUCCGUAUUUCCUGAUAACCCCCUACAGAAAUAGACCAACACCAAAACUCAUGGAAUUCUGUCAGAUAAACCCUAAGACUAGGUGUUGGUUGCAUUUGGAUCCUUUUCUAUGAUUAGUUGAUGAUUAAUUGUGAGCAUUAAGGACCGUCAACAAGCUCCCCCAAGCUUAACCUUUGCUCAUCCCUGAGCAAAGAUGAACUCAAGAGUUUCUGCAGUGGUUUCAUAACUUAAAGAUACACAUGCGUUUAAACAAGAUCUCAUCUCUGGUUAGAGUAAACUGUUAAGACUUAAAACUUACUCAUUUACCUUUCACCAUGGGACUUGUAACCGUCACUUCUGUCUUGAGUAGUUAAAAGAUAGAACGGUCUAGUCAAGCACCAUGUCUCUUAUUCUUGAUCAGCUAUAGCUCUGGAGUUUUUGUAGAUUUUCAAAUAAAACUCAGAGAUUCCUUGUAUGACUCUCUCUAGUCUCUCUUUUGUGGUAUUUCUGGAUCCUUACCAAGGCAUUAAUGGUGUAUGCCUUCUCUCAAAGUAUGUGGUAUUUGUGGUAUGAGGCAUAGUGACAUUGCCUUUUCUCUCACCCUACUCUAACAAGGCUUUUGAUAUCUGGAGCUCAUAGGUGGGAGACAACUAAUACAUACUUACAAGACAUUUAUUGCAUGAUCAAACCAUGGAUCCAGAAGAACAAGUCAAUAAGUCAAAUCAAGAUGUGCAUGUGUGGCGAAUGAAUGGUGAUAACAAUGGUGAUGAUGGUGCUAACAAUGGUGAAAGUCUAAUUCUACUUGUGCUCUUUUGAGGGGAUACAUACCUUCCUUGCUCUUUUGAAACUUUUGGGGAGAAUGAGAUGCUCUAUAUUUUCUUCUUCUUUUUUCUCUCUGGUGGGUAUCUUGUACCCCUAAUUCUACUGUCGGACACAUGUCCAUUUUUACCUCUCGUCUCACUUUUUUUUCUUUUCUUUUGAGGUUCCGGGCACUUGCCCCUUUUUAUUUCCUCGUAUUUAUAUAUAUUUUUUCUCUUUUUUUUUAUUAGAGCACUCAUCUCAUGAGAUAAUAUAGCAAGUGGUAGUAACAAGAUAACUUGAGCAUUUAUUUCAUAGGGGAAAAAUAGAAAUAUUUUUGGCUAUUCUCUCCCGGAUUAGGAGUAGAAUAUUUUUGGGUGGUUCUGGGGAUGGAAAUGGGUGGAUAUAUGUGGAUGCGUACUUCCAGAGCAGAAGCAGCAUGUGUGAGUGAACGUGCAAGUGAAUCUUGAUUUAACCACAUGACAAGCUCCUAAGGGUCUACACAGCUUGACCACACUCAAUGCUCAUAAGCAGUAAAGUAAAUAUGUGGCUCAAAGUCUAGCAAGCAUGUAUAUAUGGCUGUGGUAGGAAUUUAAACUCUCAUCAUACAGGAACUCAUCAUGCAACAUUUUAAAGAUUUUCAAAGAUAAAAUUCUCCAGAAUUCUAGCAUCUCUAGGAACAGAUAAACAGCAGCUCAACCUUCCCAUAUCAUAUCCGUUAACGACUUAGACUUCAGAUCAAGUACUCUUCCCACAAGUUCAGGUUUAGAGCAAAUUAAUAACAGCCAGGCCUAAACUUGAGAGAGAGAUUUCAAUUUUGAGAACUAGUCAUGGCAGAGCAACUAUUCAUCAUUUCCAUGUGAGAGCUUAUCAUAAUGGUUCAUAGCAGACUUUAUUUAUUCAUUUAUUUAGCAAACUAAGCAAAGAUAUAUAUAAGCACAAAAUCUUUAUUUGGGUUUCUAUGACUAUGCAUCUUUUUAUUAUUAGAGUAAAGUAUAAACGUGAGUAGAAUACUUAGCUCGAUAAAUGGGGGUGCUCUCCCCCAAGCUGGAUUUUGACGUAAUUUCUUCUGAUGUAGCUAGUAGGUGGUGGAGGUGUAUUUGAAUGUCGGCUGACAGCGAUUAGGAUGUCCUCCGUCUGCUAGUCUUCUUUGAUCCUUGAAUUCUGUGGAGCUCAAAUAGACAACAAAGCUUUGUGGAACUGGUUAAGUGUUAGCAUAAAUAUCUACCCUUUAUCAUGUUGAGCCUCCUCAAUAAAUGUUACUCUCUUUAGUAGGAUCAUAAAUUUAUUUUUAUAAUUUUAUUUUUAUAGGACAGGAAUAUAUUUAUUUUAUUUUUAUGCCACCACAGUGAAUGUACUUAUGGGCUUUAUGCCAUGAGCAUACUCACAUGGGGCUUACUUAACAUUUUUAUUUUAUUUUCAAGAUGAUAUGAACCUGAUUAACUAAAAUAAUUGAAAGGAAAAAGAUAACUACCAAGUUUACCUCUUGGCAGGGCGUUCGGUGUUUUUACGUCCUCCGAACGGGACUCUCCGUUUUCUCAAUCGUCCUGGGAUUCGCUGGAUGGCGUAGUCGGUGGUUCCGGUGGAGCCUGCUCUUCAUGUAUAACUAUCUUCUCUCUCCACACUUGACUCGGUGCUACGGUCGCCUCAGGACAAUUCUGUUUAAGUUGUAUGUCUUCAGACCUUACAACUUCUCCUUCAUAGUCUACCCAUCCGUCGUUGAUGAUUUUGCCUUCUCUGGUUGCGGUUGCGCCGUCUCCUUCUUGUCCCGACCUGCUUAGAGUCUUCAACUAUAUAGUUAGGGUCAGUAAAACAGUGGCGUACCUUCUCUGAGGGGAAGUGCAUGUGGACUUCUCUGGUUCCAAUGUAUAUGAUUGCUUUAAUGGUGCUAAAGAACGGUCUUCCAAGGAUGAUGGGUGGAUCGUACUCGUCUUCUCCCAUGUCAAUAACCUUUAAUCUUUCAGAAUGUCUGAUCUGCCAUCCGGAGCUGAAUGUAUGUUGGUUGUAGGGACAUGGUUCCAUGCAGGAGCUGAUAAGUGGCUGCGGCCAUUAUGUUGAUGUUAGAUCCGGUGUCGUAGAGUGUCUUCUGAAAAGAAUAUCCGUUGAUUGUGCACUCGAUGCUUGGGACACCAGGGUCAUCCUUCUUGAUCAAGAAAGGUGACUUGAGUUGACGAUCUUGACCUCCUUGAGCUGCAGUGACCAUCUUAGCUGACUCGGUACACAUUUGCUUGUUCUUGUUCCUCCUGUUGGUCCUCUUCCUUGGUUUAUGUCGGGAUUGCUCUGGGAUUUGUGUAGUCUUGUUUCUUGAAGGAAAACAUCUCUUUUGUCCCCUUGAUGUAGAAACUGAUCUUGGCAGCACUAGCGUAGAUGACAGCUCCCGAGGUGUUCAGGAAUGGCUUCCCCUAGGUAUAAAGUUGACGCUGGAGCCAAAGUCACAGAGUGCUUCUAGGAAGUCCACCAUGCCGAUGGAGAUUGGGAUGACGGGGCCUCCUAGAUUGUCUCUCUUGACCGGCAGAAGGUCAGUAAUUACUUCCACAACGGGGUUACUCCAGUAGUUACAUCCUCAAGCAUCUCAGGGCAGUGUUUGCAUGAGUGUCCAGUAUCUCCAGCGUGUUUGUGCUCAUAGAUCUAGGUUCUUCACUUUGGUGGAGUCUGGGAGUUGUAAAACUCCUUCAUAUUUUGCUCGAAGUGUACCUACUCAUAGAGACAAGGCAGAGAUCCAGUGCAUGGGCCCUGUUGGUGGAAAACACCAACAGAACCAAAAGUGUAUUUGUUCUUCUCUAACCUUAAGCAUAGUGAGCAAGACAAACUUGAUGGAUAAUAAGAUCAUGAGUGUA
rnacentral:lncRNA from 1 species